rnacentral:sRNA from 1 species
GCUGGGUGUGGUGAUGCACGCCUGUAAUCCCAGGGGCUCGGGAGGUUGAAGCAGGAGUCUCAGCAACUUAUGGAGACCCUAAGCAACUUAGUGAGACCCUGUCUCAA